UACGUAGGGGGCAAGCGCUGUCCGGAUUUAUUGGGCGUAAAGAGCGUGUAGGCGGCCAGACAGGUCUGCUGUGAAAACUCGAGGCUCAACCUCGAGACGCCGGUGGAAACCGUCUGGCUAGAGUCCGGAAGAGGAGAGUGGAAUUCCUGGUGUAGCGGUGAAAUGCGCAGAUAUCAGGAAGAACACCCGUGGCUAAGGCGGCUCUCUAGUACGGUACUGACGCUGAGACGCGAAAGCGUGGGGAGCGAACAGG
rnacentral:rRNA from 1 species